rnacentral:lncRNA from 1 species
CCUCCUAAUGUAAAAGUAUAAAGUUGUAACAAAGUAAGUUGAUAUGUUAAAAAAAGAAAAUUAAAGUUAAUAUUUGGCGUAUGUUAAGAACUGUAUAGUUUAGAUAUCAGAUUAGCAGUAUUAUUUGAUCAUUCAUUAUGUUAUUGAUUAAAAUUAUCAAUCUUAUUGAAGUGAAAGUUGGUUAUAAGAUUUGUUACUUUAUUGAAGGAUGAGAAUAUAUUUGUUAAUUUGUGUAAUGAACAAGAUUUUUUAAUUCUACUUGCAUAAUUCAUUGCUUGGAACUUGAUGUUACCAUAUGACAGAAUCCGAAUUCAGUGGAAGGAUUACUUUGCUAUUUUUUCAGUGACGGUUUGUCUCUAGCACUUUAAUUUAGGUCAAGCAAAGGUAAGUUGACUUUUCUCUAAGUUGUUAUAUUGAAGUCUUGUUACUUUUCAUCUUGAAGUCUAGUGAAGCCGUGUGUGGCCUUGUGCGAUUCAUUAGCAUUGUUGUUGACAUGUUGUUGGUGUUGUUGUUGCUUGUUUCUUGUAUGGUAGGUGACAUAGUUGGUUGAAAAUGGUUAAGUCUAGGGACUUUAAAGGAUUUUUUUUUGUUUUGAAUGUAGUUUGGUAAGUGACUUAGUUGGUUGAAAACGGUUAAGUUUAGGGACUUUAAAAGGGAUUUCUUUUUUUAAUGUGAUUUUAUUUUGAGACUUAGCUGGUUGAAAAUGGUUAAGUUUAGGGACUUAGAAGGGGAUUUUAUUUUUGGAAUGUGGUUUUGUUUUGAGACUUAGUUGGUUGAAAAUGGUUAAGUUUAGGGACUUUAAAAUGGAUUUUUUUUAUUUUGAAUGUAGUUUGGUAAGUGAAUUAGUUGGUUGAAAAUGGUUAAGUUUAGGGACUUUAAAAGGGAUUUUUUUGUUCUGAAUGUAGUUUGAUAAGUGACUUAGUUGGUUGAAAAUGGUUAAGUUUAGAGACUUUGAAGGGGAUUUUGUGUUCUGAAUGUGGUUAUAGUAGGUGACUUAGUUGGUUGAAAAUGAUUAAGUGUAGGAACUUUGAAGGGAAUUUUGUGUUUUGAAUGUGGUUAUGGUAGGUGACUUCGUUGGUUGAAAAUGGUUAAGUCUAUGGACUUUAAAAGGUUUUUUUUUUUUUUAGAAUGUGGUUUUGUUUUGAGACUUGGUUGAAAAUGGUUAAGUUUAGGGACUUUGAAGAGGAUUUUUAUUUUUGGAAUGUGGUUUCGUUUUGAGAUUUGGUUGAAAAUGGUUAAGUUUAGGGACUUUAAAAGGGAUUUUUUUGUUUUGAAUGUAGUUUGGUAAGUGACUUAGUUGGUUGAAAAUGGUUAAGUUUAGGGACUUUAAAAGGGAUUUUUUUGUUUUGAAUGUAGUUUGGUAAGUGACUUAGUUGGUUGAAAAUGGUUAAGUUUAGGAACUUUGAAUGGGAUUUUGUGUUUUGAGUGUGGUUAUGGUAGAUGAUUUUGUUGGUUGAAAAUGGUUAAGUCUAGGGACUUUAAAAGUUUUUUUUUUUUGGAAUGUGGUUUUGUUUUGAGACUUAGUUAGUUGAAAAUGGUUAAGUUUAGGGACUUUGAAGGGGAUUUUUUUUGUUUUGAAUGUAGUUUGGUUAGUGACUUAGUUGGUUGAAAAUGGUUAAGUUUAGGGAUUUUGAAGGGAAUUUUGUGUUCUGAAUGUGGUUAUGGUAGGUGACUUAAUUGGUUGAAAAUGGUUAAGUGUAGGAACUUUGAAGGGGAUUUUGUGUUUUGAAUGUGGUUAUAGUAGGUGGCUUCGUUGGUUGAAAAUGGUUAAGUCUAGGGACUGUAAAAGGUUUUUUUUUGGAAUGUGGUUUUGUUAUGUGACUUAGUUGGUUGAAAAUGGUUAAGUUUACGGACUUUGAAGGGGAUUUUUUUGUUUUGAAUGUAGUUUGGUUAGUGACUUAGGUGGUUGAAAAUAGUUAAGUUUAGGGACUUUGAAGGGGAUUUUGUGUUCUGAACGUGGUUAUGGUAGGUGACUUAAUUGGUUGAAAAUGGUUAAGUUUAGGGACUUUAAAAGGAUUCUUUUUUUUUUUGAAUGUAGUUUGGUAAGUGACUUAGUUGGUUGAAAAUGGUUAAGUUUAGAGACUUUAAAAGGGAUUUUGUGUUUGAAUGUGGUUAUGGUAGGUGGCUUAAUUGGUUGAAAAAUUCUUUGAUCUAAUUCGUUGAAUCUUAUUGAUUGCGUAGAUGGAACCUGAUUAUAGCUGGAUAUUUCACCGGAACAAUGAAAAUAGAAUGGGUAUUAGGCAGGAAUUUGUUGAAGGUAUCAAAAGAUUUGUUGAGGAGCAUAACAACAUUGAAGUGAAGCACAAUAAGUCGUAUCCUAUUUACGAUCCAUUUGUUCAAGCACAAAAUGCUAAAAUAGUGUAUUAUGCUCCUUAUCCGUUGCGCAAUGACAAGUUUGAUUGGUGGGUGUCGCGCCCCAUUUCGGACUGGCCGAAAUAGUCCGCAAUGUAUGGUGGUCAUAGCAACGCUUACUGGUUUUGAAAAAAAAUUGUUUGUUUUAUUUUUGAGUCGCCACCUAACUUUUAAGGAAAAACUAGGAAAACCAUUUUUAUGAUGUGGAAACUCUAUUUUUUAUCUGCGAAAACCAGUGAGAUUCUAAGUAAGGGUUUUGGUUACUCGAGGGGAAGGUAUUAAGCACCCUCAGAGACUAUCCAAAGAUAGUCUUUAAACUUAGUUUUAGAAAAAUAUUUGGGAAUUAUUUAUUUUAUUAGUUGCUAAAAUGGUAAUUAAAAAAAGACUUGAUAAUUUUUGUGGAAAAGAAACUGAAGGUAUAUAAAAUAUACCGCUAUAAUAUACCAUGAUAUAUAACGUAAUUGUUGUAAAAUAUAUAUGUUUGUCAAAAAUAUGGGAAAGGAAAAAUUAUAUUUUGUAUGCGUAUUAUAACGUUUUAAUUCUAUAAGAAAAUAUGUUCGAAAGUAUAUGACGUUAAAGUAGAGGAAAGUAUACCUUUGUCUGUAAAAUAAACAUUAGUAUAUGUAUAUUCAGAAGUGUAUGAAAAGAAUGCAAAAAUUUAUUCAAUUGGUGAUUUUCAAGGGGUUUGAACUAGAUAGAAAAUAAAGUAAUAGUAAAGUGUAUAUAUAUGUGAUGAAGUUGAAAUGAUGCAUGAAUGACAAUAGCGAUACUGGUAGGGAAAAUAAAUAUUAACGAAAAAUGAGUAAAAUGAUAAUAAUUGUCGUAAAAUAUACCUUGUAUAGUUAGCAUAGGAACCCAUAUAUACCUUAUGUU